rnacentral:tRNA from 1 species
CUCAUGUUGGCAGAUUUAUGCAAUUGAUUUAAGCUCAAUUUAUGAAAGAACUCUAUUUCACAUGAGU